CAGAUGUACACUGGAGAGAGUGAGAGGUGUGAUGGAAAGCUGACCGGAAAUAAAAAGAGAAAAAAAAAAAGAAUCAGCAUGGGAGAAAAGAAAAAGAAGAUUUAUGAUAUACUCCAGUUUUGGAAGGAAAGAUUAACAAGGAAGGAGAAUAUUAAUGAAAAGGAGUGAGAAACGGACUGAAUGAGAGAAAGCAAGGGAUACGGCGCACUCAUAUACUGAGACGCUGUUCUUACAGAACAGGGCAGGACAUCAACAACUGCUCGACCUGCCAGAAAACAGCCUGCAUCAUUUACAGACAGACACACACCGUUCUGAGUGAGUUUGGUGGAGCAGACAAGGGUGGAGAUGGUGAAGCUGUCUCGUGAGCUGACCGACAGGCUUCCCGCAGUGCUGUUAUUCCUCAUCAGCGUCGACCCUUUGUGGGUGUCAGUGUGUGUG